rnacentral:rRNA from 1 species
UGCCAGCCGCCGCGGUAAUACGGGGGGAGCUAGCGUUGUUCGGAAUUACUGGGCGUAAAGAGUACGUAGGCGGUUUACUCAGUCAGGUGUGAAAUCCCCAAGCUUAACUUGGGAACUGCAUUUGAUACUGGUAGACUAGAGUCCAAGAGGGGUGAGUGGAAUUCCUAGUGUAGAGGUGAAAUUCGUAGAUAUUGGGAAGAACACCAGUGGCGAAGGCGGCUAACCGGCUCGGUACUGACGCUGAGAUGCGAAAGCGUGGGGAGCAAACAGGAUUAGAUA